UACGUAGGUGGCAAGCGUUGUUCGGAAUCACUGGGCGUAAAGCGCACGUAGGCGGAUUUGUAAGUCAGGGGUGAAAUCCCGGGGCUCAACCUCGGAACCGCCUUUGAUACUGCGAAUCUUGAGUCCGAUAGAGGUGGGUGGAAUUCCUAGUGUAGAGGUGAAAUUCGUAGAUAUUAGGAAGAACACCGGUGGCGAAGGCGGCCCACUGGAGCGGUACUGACGCUGAGGUGCGAAAGCGUGGGGAGCAAACAGG
rnacentral:rRNA from 1 species